rnacentral:rRNA from 1 species
UGGGGAAUAUUGGACAAUGGGCGAAAGCCUGAUCCAGCCAUGCCGCGUGUGUGAAGAAGGUCUUCGGAUUGUAAAGCACUUUAAGGUGGGAGGAAGGGCAGUAAGCUAAUACCUUGCUGUUUUGACGUUACCGCCAGAAUAAGCACCGGCUAACUCUGUGCCAGCAGCCGCGGUAAUACAGAGGGUGCAAGCGUUAAUCGGAAUUACUGGGCGUAAAGCGCGCGUAGGUGGUUUGUUAAGUUGGAUGUGAAAUCCCCGGGCUCAACCUGGGAACUGCAUCCAAAACUGGCAAGCUAGAGUAUGGUAGAGGGUAGUGGAAUUUCCUGUGUAGCGGUGAAAUGCGUAGAUAUAGGAAGGAACACCAGUGGCGAAGGCGACUACCUGGACUGAUACUGACACUGAGGUGCGAAAGCGUGGGGAGCAAACAGGAUUAGAUACCCCUGUAGUCC